GAGUCCGUGGUGCGUGUGUCGGCGCCGCUCGACGCCGUUCUUCUUUUCUCUGUCGCCCUUUUAGAGCAUCCGGCGUCUUUCACACUCUCUCUCUCCGUCUUUCCGUUGUUGUUUGUUUAGUUCUGAUGUCGUCCACGUGGCUUCACGCGCUGCGGGCGUACGCGACGCGCACUAAUGCGACGCCCGCAUCGCUCGUCGCUCGAUGUCGCCUCUUCGACCAACUGUGUGCUGUGCAGCUGCGCGGGCUGCCAAGCGCGCAGCUGCAUCCCGAUGCCCUCCCCGUCCUCCGCGAGGCGCGUUGGUCACUGCUGCGUGAAGGCACCACUGCUGACAAGGCGGAGCUGCUGGAGCACAUUGUACGGCAGUAUGCGCAAGCAAGCGAGAAGGCCAUGUACGCAGCGCCCACGGCGUCUUGCAGUCCGGACGGCAUAAGCGGCAGUGCAGACGCGCAGCGCAAGCAGCCGGGAAAGAAAAGCAGUCGCACGCGCUCCCUGCAAGAUCGGCCGCCACAGCAUGCGACUCGCAGCUGUAACUCCGGCAGCCUCCUCUCCGAUGUGCAGCUCAGCGAGAUGAGUGUGCUGCAGCAGCUGCUGCUGGAGCAGGUGCAGUGCCUUGUUGAGGCCAAGGUGUCUGACAUUCCCUUGUCGGCACGCCACUACCGCUACCCGAUGCGCUCCCCGCUGCUCGCCACGGUAAGCCCAGAGCUGCCGCUUCUCCUGCUGGAGGAGCUCACACUACAGAGCACAGCAGUGUCGCCGUCGUCGUCGUCAUCGGCUCAGUCGAACAUAAACUGGGAGGCGCGCGUUGACUGCUGUGUCGGCCUCGUCGCGGCGGGUCAUGUGCAGGAGGCGCUCGCUCUGUGCGGCGAUGAUGGUAGCGCUUUUCGCGCUGUGAUGCACCGCGUGGCGCCGCUGCGUCGCGACGGGUGGCGGUGCGCGUGGGCGCUGGCCGAUGCAGCCCCGCUCUCUCGCGUCCUGGACGACGCCACCGCCGCCGCGGGCGGCACUGCCUCUCUCGAUUGGCUGCGCGGGGUGCUGGAGGCGGUGGACAUGCGCCACCGAGCGGCCGUGGGGGCGCGGCAAGUAAGUGACAGUGCCAAUGCCGAGCGGAAUCAUGUGUUCGAGUGGGUGGAUCGUCUGCGCCGCCUGAUUGUGCUGUCGAGCAAGGUGCCCUUGGCCGGCGCAGAGGGGCAGCAGCAGCAGCAGCGCGUGUCCGCGACGGCGCUGCGGCUAAUCAUGGACACUUACUUGUCUGUCUGUCCAGCUAGCCGCUGGCGGGAUGCAGUCGGGGCGGUGCUGGAACUAGCUGCUGCAACUGACGCAGCGCCUGCUGCGGCGCAAGCGGCAGGGGAGGGCAACUGCUGCGCCGACGCGGUGACAACGGGGCGCCUGAUGUCCAUCCUUAAAGCCGCAGAGCAGCCGUGGAUGGUGCUGCUUUUCUUCUACGGCGACCCGCUGGCGCUGCAGGUCGCGUCUUCGGGGUCGCGCAACGACAGCAACACCAAGCGUCCCGACAGCGAUGCUCCCGCAAGGUGGCAAGUCAGCGACAAGUCUGUUCAGGCGAAGGUGGAGGAAUGCGUGCGAGCAGCGCGCGACGCCGACCGCCUCACAGUGGCAACGGGCACGAUUCUGAGCGAACGCGACAAGCGCCACGCCGCUAUCUACAACCACGCCAUGGUCGCCCUCGCCGCCACGGGGCACCACACGGAAGCCAUGCACUUCUACCGUACGCUGCCGGUCCUGCUUGUCAACUGCUACACUCACUGGUCCGUGCUGCAACUCUUCUUGCAGCCGACAAGGGACAGCCGUGCCGCCUCUGCGCUCCGCACGUCGGAGAACUACAACCAUUGCGCGCGCGCUCUCCGACACCUAAUUCGAAUGAGCACGGCGGAGUCAGAAGCAGCGCAUGCGCACACCCAGGUGAACGGCAACAGCAGCGGCGUGCAUCCGGCGACACCGAUCCGCUGCACACGCAACCAAGGCGGCGUGUGGGAAUCCAUGAUACUAUGGGCCGCACUCCGGCGAGACGCCGAGACGGUUGACCUGUGCGCCACGCAUGCGCCGGUCGUGUCUCGAUAUGCGCAUCUCAUUGCCCUACUCUCCGCCGCUGCAUCGCGCAGCGACGGUUGGUCAGCGGCGCAGGCACAAGUCCGCCACAUGUGCGCCGCGCCGCGCACCACGCUGAAGGAGCUGAGCCUGGCGACAGCAGUCAUGGCCUCGUUUUUUCCGCGCUGGCCGGCCGGCACUGCCGCGGCAGAGCUGCCGGUGCGCGCGGAGCUGUUUGACGAGGUGGCACACUCGAUGGCUCCCCUCGUCGGCCGCAGUCAGUCUCGCAUGGACGAGAUGCUCCAGCUCCUUGUCGGCUACUCCGUCAGCCUCCGGCGGCGCCGCCGUAUGCCCAUGACACCGCAGGACGAGGCGGCGGCACUUGAUGGCAUCCUUGUCAAGGAGAACAUCCUCGCGAGCACCAUGGACCUGGCCCGCCCACGCGCCGGGUACGCCUCUGACGUCGACAGCGCGCGAAGCUGCGACAACGGCGCGGCAGGCGACCCCGGUGCGUGGCGCACGGUGGUGCAUGUAAUGAUCUCCGUUGCGGAGCGGCAGGGACUCUCGGCCGCACGGGCCGCGCCAGCACUCGUGUCGGCCGGUGUCCCUGCCGAAAUGGCGAUCGACCUGCUGCCCAUGUAAGCCGGGCAUGCGGGCCUCCUGUGCAGUUUUUCCCGUUUUCGGCUUUGGCCUCGGCACGCCCCCCCCACAGAGAUUGACAAAAACAAAAACGAAAGCCGCGGGCGGGGCGAAACGCUUCGCGCGCGGGGCGUGCCGCCCCACCCGCCCGCCCGCACGAACGCCCCCGCGGCCCACCGCGGCGCGACCCCCGCCCCACCCCCCUCCCACACCACCCACCCCAAACCCCACCCUAGCCCGAUUUUUCCGCGCACCCUCCUCCACGACGAAGAGGGAAGGGAUACACACACACACACACGCCUCGCAGCACGGGGCCCACCGACCCCACCCCCCUGUGUGCGAGGGGAAGCCGAGCAGCCCCCCAUCCCGUUCCGACCCCGAACCGCCGCUGGCGAUGGCCGGGCCGAGCACCUACGACGUAGCGCCGUCCGAGCAACCUGCGACAGUGAACACGCCCGCGCCGCCCCGCGAGCGAUGCACCAAGGGUGCGGGCGGAGUUCGGCGCAGGGGCCACGCGGGGAUGGCUAGACCGGCGCAUCGCUGCACCGCGUGUGCCUCUACGGCUGCCUCGCGCCGUGGGUUGGCGGCAUGUCGGGGGACCGGGGACCGGGGGCCCAGGCCCACCACGCCACGCGCCCCGUGGACGGCAAAAAGAGGGGCCGCCCGCCAACCAGGCGCCGCCGCCUGGGCCACACCCCCGCCCGCGAGAGGAGGGCAAGGAAACGACGCUGAAGGGGGCGGGUGAGAGAGCCCCGGGGCAGCCAGGCCGGCACCCCGCAUUGUGGAAACGUUUCCGCCGGAUACAGAAGCGUUUUCGUGCCAGGGGCGCUUACGCGUGCGUCUCGCCGCAUGUGAAAAGCGUUUUUUUUUUGCCGCUUUCAUCCUUAGUCCUAUUUCUUUGCUGAAAAACGGUGUCGCUGGCGAAUUCUUACAAAGCCCCGCUCUCUGAUAUUGGACUCG
rnacentral:misc_RNA from 1 species